GACGAACGCUGGCGGCGUGCUUAACACAUGCAAGUCGAACGAAGGGGCGAACGGGUGAGUACGGCGGGGGUAACCUGCCCUACUUUUUGGGAUAAACCUGGGAAACGGGGUCUAAUACCGAAUAAGGGGUGAUGGGCUGGCGGCCGAUCGGCUGGUUGGUGGUGUGAUGGCCUACCAAGGCGGUGACGGGUAGCCGGCCGGAGAGGGUGACCGGCAACAUUGGGAGGGAGAUACGCCCCCGACUCCUACGGGAGGCAGCAGUGGGGGAUAUUGCACAAUGGGCGAAAGCCUGAUGCGGCUACGUCGCGUGGGUGUUGAAGGCUUUCGGGUUGUAAAUCUCUUUCGCUCUCGAACGGGUAGGUGGCGAAGAAGCUCCGGCUAACUACGUGCCAGCAGCCGCGGUAAUAC
rnacentral:rRNA from 1 species